GAUUUCCUGUGGCUCAGUUGGUAGAGCAUUGCACUAAAAACACAAAGGUCAUGGAUUAAAAUUCCACAGAAAGCA